UACGAGGGAUGCAAGCGUUAUCCGGAAUUAUUGGGCGUAAAGCGUUUGUAGGCGGGCGAGUGUGUUUAAUGUUAAAUCUUAAAGCUCAACUUUGAAAUUGCGUUAAAAACUGCUUGUCUUGAGUAUGGUAGGGGUAAAGGGAAUUCCCAGUGUAGCGGUGAAAUGCGUAGAUAUUGGGAAGAACACUAAACAGCGAAGGCACUUUACUAGGCUAAUACUGACGCUGAGAAACGAAAGGUAAGGUAGCGAAACGGAUUAGAUACCCGUGUAGUCUUACCCGUAAACUAUGGACACUAAACGGUAAAUUUUUAAUUUACUGUUAAAGCUAACGCGUUAAGUGUCCCGCCUGGGGAGUAUGCUUGCAAAAGUGAAACUCAAAGGAAUUGACGGGGGCCCGCACAAGCGGUGGAGCAUGUGGUUUAAUUCGACGGUACACGAAGAACCUUACCAGGAUUUGGCAUGCUAGAUAGUUGCUUGAAAGAGUAACGUGCCGUAAGGAAUCUAGACACAGGUGGUGCAUGGCUGUCGUCAGUUCGUGUUGUGAAAUGUUGGGUUAAGUCCCGCAACGAACGCAACCCUUGUCUUUAGUUAUUUUCUAAAGAGACUGCCUGUAAUAAACAGGAGGAAGGUAAGGAUGAGGUCAAGUCAUCAUGCCCCUUAUGUCCUGGGCUACACACGUGCUACAAUGGGAAAGACAAUGAGCUGCAAAUCUGUAAAUUUAAGCAAAUCUCUUAAACUUUCUCGUAGUUCGGAUUGUGGGCUGCAACUCGCCCACAUGAAGUUGGAAUCGCUAGUAAUCGCCAGUCAGCUAUAUGGCGGUGAAUCCGUUCCCGGGCCU
rnacentral:rRNA from 1 species